CGCCGCCACGUGCGACGCCGGAAAAUCGCCGACCGGAAAAACGUAGAAGUCAGGCACUCGACCAAAGCUCAGUGAACAGAUUUCUUCUCAGCCCUAAGGAAUACAGUAAUACUAAUUUACGUAAAAAGUAAAAUUAUAUACAUAGACAACUAAAACGACAUGAUUCACGCAUCCCAGUCCCAAAGGUCAUAAAUGAUGUUUGUCACUGUGUGUUGCCAAUGAAACCCAUCAAUAAUUGUUCGAUGCAAUUUAAUGUGUAUGUUUUUUGGGUUGAAAGUGACAACUAUAAUAUAGUCUUCAUUUGCAAUAAAUAAAGUUAAAUUGAAAGAGGUCCUCAUCAAUGUACAUCCCAGCAUCAGUCAUCACUCAUCAGCCCCACCGGCUCUGCUUCAACUUAGAAAGAGACUUCAGAUGGAUAAGAAUUAACUCGCUACUAUCGAUUCAUUUUAGUUAUCGUGUUUAUUAAAUUUAAUUUAUUUAAAAUAAUUAUCAUUUGGCGACUUA